AGUAAGAGUACUCCAUGUGGGUUUGGAUGCCCAACGUUUGACUGUCCGUCUUAUUUGAAAUUUUUUUAUGAUUAGUAUUUUUAUUAUUAUUAGAUAAUAAAAUAUAAAUAGUAAUUUAUGUAUGACUUAAUUUUUAAAAAAAUCAUAAAUUUUUCAAAUAUGUAUGACUUAAUUUUUAAAAAAAUCAUAAAUUUUUCAAAUAAAAUGGACGGUUAAACGUUGGACACAGAAACUUAUGGUACACUUAAA
rnacentral:pre_miRNA from 1 species